rnacentral:rRNA from 1 species
UACGAAGGGGGCUAGCGUUGUUCGGAAUCACUGGGCGUAAAGCGCACGUAGGCGGAUGUGUCAGUCAGGGGUGAAAUCCCGGAGCUCAACUUCGGAACUGCCUCUGAUACAGCACGUCUUGAGUUCGAGAGAGGUGGGUGGAAUUCCUAGUGUAGAGGUGAAAUUCGUAGAUAUUAGGAAGAACACCGGUGGCGAAGGCGGCCCACUGGCUCGAUACUGACGCUGAGGCGCGAAAGCGUGGGGAGCAAACAGG